GUUGUUGAUUAAUCCCAAAAUUAUCUAUGGAUUUCAUGAAAAUAAGUGUCUAUGGGGUUAGGUUUUAAUGUUAGUAAUUUGUAUAAUCGGAGAUUUUAAUUGUAAACCUAAUAAUAAUUCUAUGUAUAGGCUUAGUUAAUUAAUAGGUAAUAAAGUAAACCUUAGAAUUUUAUAGGUAACUUAGUGAUGUAGCCUUUGAGCGAUUCAAGGUGCUACUUAGCAUGGUUAUUGGUUAAGAAACUGAAUGGUGCGUUGUAUUGUGUUUUAGCGGCACUUUGUGGGUCGAAUCUUGAGUUGUUGGAAUUUGGGAGUAUAAGCAGCUCAAGAUGGAGCUUCUUUGGCUACAGGUACACCCGACUUGGAGGAUGACCCCGUAGCUUUGUAUUUGGGAUACUAUGACUAGAGCAUGACGCGACAGUUGUAGUGCUAUGGACCGCGGGUUGUCCAUACUAUGGGUAUUUUGUAUAUGGCUCGUGACAAAUGCGUCACUUAUUCUUUUGUGUAGCCAUCCUUUUGUAAUAGUUGUAAUGAUGUUAAGCCUUAAACAGUUAGACAUGUGAAUAGCUCUUUUGUGUAAACAAUAUGUUUAUAUUUAGAUAUGCUUUUCCGCUGAGUUAA